rnacentral:lncRNA from 1 species
GCCAACUUCUCCUCACAUUAACAUUUCCCAUGACCCUCGCCAGCUAUGGAGACUGGCAAUCCGUGUUAACGCCUGAUGUUGACUUGAGCUCCCCUCCCUGGAACAUCUGUGGGACUCCGGACUCCAGGCCUAGUCCUGCUCCCUCCCUGGGCUGCAGCCUGAGUCUCUCCCCAGCCAGCGAGCUGGGCCACUGGGCAGGAGUUACGGCCGCGUGCUCCAGGGCCCCACGCCUCAUACCUGCUGGGCCGGUGUACAUGUGGUAUGGUGGUGAGGGGCCCCAAGAAUCUCCCUGGGACCCCCGCCCAGGACCUCACAGCCUCGAGCUCUGCUGCCAGACACCUCCUGCCCCGUGAAAGGAAGAGCAGAAGCUUUCGAGGCCUCACUCUGGCUGACUUCCUGAAGCCAAGGCUACCGGAGCCUCUGCUGGGGGGUGGGGUGCUUUGCGCCCACUUCUUGCUGAGUCCGCCUUGCCCCCGAGCACACCUGAUGCAGGAGCAGCCACCUCGCCAUCCUCUGCACACAGCCCAGGCGGGUGUUGCCACACCCACUGCCCAGAGCAGCUCAAGCUGCAAAGACACAACCCAAACGCCGGCAGGAGGUGGAGGAACUGGAAUGCUCGUGCAGGGUCGGCAGGCAUGCAGAAAGAUCUGGUGGUUUAUUCUAAUAAACGUACAGCCGCCUUUUGACCCCAGAGUCCCACUCUAUGAUUCUG